UUAAAACACCAGUUCUCGUAUGAGCAACGAAGUUAAGCAACGUCGAGCCUGUCCAGUACCUAGAUGGGUGACUGCUUGGGAAUACCAAGUGCUGUAA